AAGCACUGCGGCUCUAAAGAACAGAAAGAAAUCUAACGGUUUGGAGGCUGAUAACUGUCCUUAGGAGCUGGAAGGCGCGGACAACACUUGUCUCACCGGUUCAGUCCAGGGGAAAUCUCCCGGUGGGCCGAUGCCCAGAGGGCCACCCAAGCACUCCUCUUGCCCACCAUCCCGUUGAUGAUGUAUCAAGAUGAGCAAUGUUCUGCAAUAGGUUCUGCAAAGAUAAAAGAUUGAUUGCUACUAUGCUGUAGAGCUUGGGUUUGUGGAAGAACAUGGAAAAAAGACUCUAGAUGUUGACAUUUUCUUUCUAAAGUGUCAAGCAAUAUCAAGCUAUAUUGCAAAUGUAUCUGCAACCUAUGGAGGCUUCUUCGAGUACCUCUUAAAUGAAUAAAAAAAAAGCAAUCACUUCUAUUUGGUCAUUUAGCUUAAAAAUUCACUAUCGAUUGGUAACAUUUUUGACAUGUGACGAUGAUGUGUCAAAUUAUUGAUCGGUGAGGUACUGGUCACCCAGAGCAAUGAUUUGAAAGAAGGAGCAGAAGUACUCAGCUGAACACAGUGCCCUUCCGCUCUAAUGGCUUUUUCUGGCUCUAACAUGAUUGGAUAAAUGGUGUAUGGACUAUAUAUCUUUCAUAAGCUUGUACACUGAUCGACUUGACUUUCUCUAGAAAAUAAAAAAAACUGAUCCGAGGUCAUCAUCAUCUCAGUAGAGACGUUCUACCUCUUCAUUCUGGUGAAUGGAUGGGUCUUAUACUACUAAAAACUUUUGACAUGUUACUAAAAUAAUUAAAGACUAACAUAUAAUAUUGGCAUGGAAACAAUAUGUACCUUACUUAAAAAAUUCUCAU